UCAUCCCUUUGUUCCUGGUCUCUUUUCCUCUCUCCAAAACUAGGGUUUUAGCAUAUUUUAAAAGUCAUCUCUUCAUGGGUAAAACUAGUCAGGGGCAUGUGUUCAGCACUAGAAGGACAAUAGUUCAGGGUGUAAAGGAAAUCAAUGAAGACUCCUCAUGAGGAACUAGACAAACAAAUCGUCUCAUCAAACGAGAUUCAAGUGAUCUGAAGAUGUCUUCGAAACAACCCAUAAAGAAGAAGGGAGAAUCUUCACGAUCAAAGAAACAAUUCGCCGAACUCAUCACCAUACCCGAUUCUACCCCCUUUGAUUCUCUGAUUUUGUCAAUUCCACAAUCACAUAGUAAUCCCUUAACCUUUAGGCCUUCUAAAUAAGCAAAUCGAUUCCAAGAUCUCGUGAUGAACAAAAAAUUAUUUUUGGUAAGUUUGUUGACCCUGUUCUAUUUCACCAAAUUGGGGUUAUUACUUUAUUUGAGAAUGUUAGUUUAUCUUCUAUGUUAUCUCCACCCAAAUCUGCAUAUCAUGCCUUAAUCAAGCAUUUUUUUUGGAAUAUGUUAGUUAAAUCAGAUAUAAUAAAUAUCUUUGUUCAAAACAAAACCCACAUCAUUGACUCUACUUUAUUGGGUUCCAUAUUUUAUAUCCCUUGCUCUGAUCUCUAUCCCUUUAUUCUCAAGGGUCCUAUAGAGUUUGAAAACAUAAUAGUCAUUGAACAAUUAAAGAUUGUGAAAGAUUACUCUUCUGUUGAAUUUAUUGGUUUACCAACUGUUGUCGAAACUAAACAAUGUUGUUCAUAAGGUCAUUCGUGCUAUAUAGUACCUAAAACUGGGGGUAGGUCCAACAUGGCUUAUCAAUAUUUGAUUCUCUUGGCCUUAAUUUUAUCUUGUACUAAGUUUAAUUUUGCUUUGCCUAUGAUUAAGCAUAUGGAAAGCUGUUUAGCAAACAAAACAAAACAUUUUUCUUAUGGGGGUUUCAUAGCAAAAAUUCUAGUACACUUUGGAAUCUCUUUUGUAAAUGAAGAGGUAGUGCAAUUAUCUAAGGAUAUUGAUUAAUAUGUAUUUUUGAAGUUCUAAAUAAAGGUUAAUCUUGAUGGAAUCUUAUCUUGGGUUGUUAAGAGCUUUCACACUCAGGGUUCUGUUCCUCUUAUACUUUUAAAUCUCUAAAUACUUCUCCUAAUCAUCAUUUUGUUUUACUAGAACCAUCUGUUCUUGUACCCCUCCUAAUUCUCAAUUCUCUGCUCUUCAUUAAUUGGGACAAGAUAUGGGGGAAGGUUCAAGCAUUAGGAGAAAGAGUUGAUACUAUUUCAGAAAGGGUAAAAAUUUUGGUGUCUCAUCAUAAUUCCUAUGUGGUCAAAUUAUAAGACUUUAACAAGAAGCUUGAUGAAACUCUUUUUGAACCUACUACUGAUGAAGCUGCAUAACUGAAUCAUUUUUUUAUAAUGACAAAGGGGGAGAUAAUGGUAAAAAAAGGGUUUUUGGAUUUUAUAAACUGAUUGGGUUUUAUGAUUGAAUAGAACUGUUUCUUAAUUUCUUUUUGUGAAUUGAUGUUUAAGUAUUGAUGUUUAAGUACGUAUUGUGAUACAUUAUGAUUACGGUUCGGUUCUUUUGGAAUCAAUUAGAUUUGAUGGUAAAUUAAUUAUGCAAAUGAUUGACUGUGAUAUAUUGUUUUAUGCACAUGAUUUAGUUAUACGUACCUUUUGAAAUAUUGUGUAUAUAAUCUUAGGGGGAGUUAUAUAUGGUUUCUGUUGAAGAUUAUGCUCAGUUUGAUUGCUUAUAUUAUUGCUUCAUUAUAUGCAUAAUCUUAGGGGGAGUGAUAUAUUUUCAUCAUCAUAAAGGGGGAAAAUGUUAUUUUUUGAGUUUUUAAUUUUAAUGAUAACAAUAUGUGUUAUAUGGAGCUAAUGUGUAUGAGCGGGGUUUUGAGCUAUUUGGAUCAUAUUUGGUGUUUUUGAAAUUAAAGUUGAUUCCAUAAAGGCUCAUCUGGGGGUUACAAUUUGUUUAGAGGUCUCAGUUCUUAAGAAUUAUUGUAAGUCUUUCUAGCCAAAGUAUUUUAAUUCCAAGGCUUUAAUUGGUUGUUGGAAAGUUUGUUUUAAAUUAAAACUAGUCAAAUGUUUCUCUAUCCUAAAAUCAAGGGAUCUGAACAGUAUAUGUUUUGAAUAAGUCUAUAUCAUCAUAUUCAUUCCAUAUCUUUUUGAUUUGGUUUCCUUUAAUUAAGUUCUUUUCAAAAGACUUAGUUUGAAUAUCUUUAUAUUUUAAAAGAACCUUUUGGAUAAAAAUCCUCAUAUAUUCGUUACUCAUAAAUGUAUGUCGAAAUUGGGUUUUGUUUGAACUAAAAUUGUGGGAUCCAUUCUAACAAAACUCUCUAGCCAUUAAAACUUUGUCUAUAUAUUUCUUUCUUCUCGGCUAUUAAAAGGCAGAGCUCUUAUUUUGAUAUACUUAGUCCAGUAGAAAAAGCUUUCAAGUCUUAUAUUUUCUUAUAUUAAAGGGCUUUCAAAGAUAUACUUUCAGCAAUCAAGUUAUGCUUUGUUAUUAAUUUCUUUUAGCUGGAUAGUCAUAGCUGCUUUGUAAUUUAUUCUCUUCUUAUCAAACCUAGAAUUCAAGGUUUGUGUAGCUUGAUUGUUCCUAUAGUGGAUAUAGUUGUUCAAAGGAAGCUUUUAAAGGUCUCAUUGGUGAGAAAGUUGUAGAGGUGCAAAGGUUGCAGAGGUGCAAGGGGGCAAUGGUGUUAAACAUUAAACUAAAGCUUCUUUGAACAAAGAGUUUUUCUUUGUAAUUAAUUGAGUAUUAAAUUUAAAUAAAAAAGCCUCCAAUACCAAAUAGUAUUUGAUGUGGAUUAGGCCACUAGAUUAGAGGAUAAGGGUUGAACCACGAAAAAAUCUUGGUCUGAUUUAUUAUUUUGUAUUUUCUUACUUUGUAUUUUAAUUUCUUGAUAUAUUGCUUUGCUACUCGCUUGAAGAUAUACUAAUUCAAACACAUAAGCAGACAGGGUAUCCUGUCUGAUUGUAACUGACGAAUAACAUAAGCUAAAGCAGACAUGCAUACUUGUCUGUUUUAAACCUGUUGUAGAAAAAAUCAAUAAGUUUUCAUUGUUUAUCACUUUUUACUUAGACAUCUAUUCACUCUCUUUAAGUGUGUUUAUAUAAUGAAGGUGAAACCAAACUUGACAUAUUUUGAGAGCUGUUAUUUACACUCUUAAAUUAACCUCACUUUCACUUCACGAAUUUAAAUAAUUAGCACAGUAGUAAGCAAGGAUCAAUUCCACAGAGAGUGAUUUGUUUUAUAUUUAUUCUAAUGUUUCCAACUAUAAAUAGAAAGUAAAGAUUUGGGGGUUUUUGAAUCAAUUAUAUUUAACUAAAUAAAAUAGAUUUAUUUAAAAUUUCAGUUCUUCAGUUCAGUAUCACAUUUUCACAGUAAUGGAUUAAUCAAGUGUGACAUUAUUUACCCUUCAAUGAAACUAAUAGCCAUAGGUAACAACAAGCUCUGCUACUCGAAACUCCCUUUAGAUUAUGACACAAUGAAACAAGUUAUUCACAAGAUUCUAACUAUUAUACAACCUAGAACAAGCUCUCUAGAUUUAAUAUAACAACAUUAAAAACUAGGGAAUUAGACUAUUCCAAGCAACAAUGACACAAACUCAGAUUGUUUAACCCGUCUUCUGAUAAUCAUAGAAACACUAAAAUGCUUUUCUACAAUCAGGUAUUACUAAUUACUACUUGUGAUUAGGAACAAUAACAAUUAUACGUAAUAUUAUUCUUUAAUCUAGCAUAUGAUAUUAGGUGUCCAACAUUAAACUAAAGCUUCUUUGAACAAAGAGUUUUUCUUUGUAAUUAAUUGAGUAUUAAAUUUAAAUAAAAAAAGCCUCCAAUACCAAAUGGUAUUUGAUGUGGAUUAGGCCACUAGAUUAGAGGAUAAGGGCUGAACCACGUAAAAAUCUUGGCCUGAUUUACUAUUUUGUAUUUUCUUACUUUGCGUUUUAAUUUCUUGAUAUAUUGCUCUGCUACUCGCUUGAAGAUAUACUAAUUCAAACACAUAAGCAGACAGGGUAUCCUGUCUGAUUGUAACUGACGAAUAACAUAAGCUAAAGCAGACAUGCAUACUUGUCUGUUUUAAACCUGUUGUAGAAAAAAUCAAUAAGUUUUCAUUGUUUAUCACUUUUAACUUAGACAUCUAUUCACUCUCUUUAAGUGUGUUUAUAUAAUGAAGGUGAAACCAAACUUGACAUAUUUUGGGAGCUGUUAUUUACACUCUUAAAUUAACCUCACUUUCACUUCACGAAUUUAAAUAAUUAGCACAGUAGUAAGCAAGGAUCAAUCCCACAGAGAGUGAUUUGUUUUAUAUUUAUUCUAAUGUUUCCAACUAUAAAUAGAAAGUAAAGAUUUGGGGGUUUUUGAAUCAAUUAUAUUUAACUAAAUAAAAUAGAUUUAUUUAAAAUUUCAGUUCUUCAGUUCAGUAUCACAUUUUCACAAUAAUGGAUUAAUCAAGUGUGACAUUAUUUAUCCUUCAAUGAAACUAAUAUCCCUAGGUAACAAGCUCUGCUACUCGAAACUCCCUUUAGAUUAUGACACAAUGAAACAAGUUAUUCACAAGAUUCUAACUAUUAUACAACCUAGAACAAGCUCUCUAGAUUUAAUAUAACAACAUUAAAAACUAGGGAAUUAGACUAUUCCAAGCAACAAUGACACAAACUCAGAUUGUUUAACCCGUCUUCUGAUAAUCAUAGAAACACUAAAAAGCUUUUCUACAAUCAAGUAUUACUAAUUACUACUUGUGAUUAGGAACAAUAACAAUUACACGUAAUAUUAUUCCUUAAUCUAGCAUAUGAUAUUAGUUAAUCAAUUCAAUUAUGCAAAAAUCAAUCAAUUAAACCAAAUAGUGUGACGCUCCCAAAAUAGGUAUACAUCACCCAUCUUGAGUCACCAAAUACAUGGUACAAAAUUCAAAUACAACUUAAUUAUACAACAGUCGUGUAAAAUACGACUAAACAUAAUCUAAGAGUUUUAAUAAGAAUAUUGUCAUCUAGACAAUAUCCACACUCAAUGGAGUCCUCAUUACAUUUAUUGUCACACUAUUUAACAGAAUAGUGAGGACUACUAAUGCUAUCAUCUAGACCGUCACUUCGUUCCCCGACUAGUCCCGGCUAUGUUCUCAUUUCCUGAAGAGAACAAUGAAAGAAAGGGUAAGCUCAACUAGCCCAAUAAGAAAUAUUAUGACUAAGAUAAUGUAGAAUAAAUUAUCAUUAGUCUUCAACAAUGUUAAACUGAUAAAAUACAAUAGACAUCAAGUUUAACUAAAGCGGAAUAAGCAAUCCAUUAAAAGAGUCGAGUAGAGCAUGAUAUCUACUAUUUUCUAUGAUUUAAAAUGUUUUCAUCAAUUUUUAUCACUGAGACUCAGCUUAAUAAAUAAACCACAUCAUCGAGUCAUCCCUGCACUAUGGGCCAAGGAUAUUCAUUAAAUCAUCAAUGGUCAUGACUAUACCGAAUAAUCNNNNNNNNNNNNNNNNNNNNNNNNNNNNNNNNNNNNNNNNNNNNNNNNNNNNNNNNNNNNNNNNNNNNNNNNNNNNNNNNNNNNNNNNNNNNNNNNNNNNNNNNNNNNNNNNNNNNNNNNNNNNNNNNNNNNNNNNNNNNNNNNNNNNNNNNNNNNNNNNNNNNNNNNNNNNNNNNNNNNNNNNNNNNNNNNNNNNNNNNNNNNNNNNNNNNNNNNNNNNNNNNNNNNNNNNNNNNNNNNNNNNNNNNNNNNNNNNNNNNNNNNNNNNNNNNNNNNNNNNNNNNNNNNNNNNNNNNNNNNNNNNNNNNNNNNNNNNNNNNNNNNNNNNNNNNNNNNNNNNNNNNNNNNNNNNNNNNNNNNNNNNNNNNNNNNNNNNNNNNNNNNNNNNNNNNNNNNNNNNNNNNNNNNNNNNNNNNNNNNNNNNNNNNNNNNNNNNNNNNNNNNNNNNNNNNNNNNNNNNNNNNNNNNNNNNNNNNNNNNNNNNNNNNNNNNNNNNNNNNNNNNNNNNNNNNNNNNNNNNNNNNNNNNNNNNNNNNNNNNNNNNNNNNNNNNNNNNNNNNNNNNNNNNNNNNNNNNNNNNNNNNNNNNNNNNNNNNNNNNNNNNNNNNNNNNNNNNNNNNNNNNNNNNNNNNNNNNNNNNNNNNNNNNNNNNNNNNNNNNNNNNNNNNNNNNNNNNNNNNNNNNNNNNNNNNNNNNNNNNNNNNNNNNNNNNNNNNNNNNNNNNNNNNNNNNNNNNNNNNNNNNNNNNNNNNNNNNNNNNNNNNNNNNNNNNNNNNNNNNNNNNNNNNNNNNNNNNNNNNNNNNNNNNNNNNNNNNNNNNNNNNNNNNNNNNNNNNNNNNNNNNNNNNNNNNNNNNNNNNNNNNNNNNNNNNNNNNNNNNNNNNNNNNNNNNNNNNNNNNNNNNNNNNNNNNNNNNNNNNNNNNNNNNNNNNNNNNNNNNNNNNNNNNNNNNNNNNNNNNNNNNNNNNNNNNNNNNNNNNNNNNNNNNNNNNNNNNNNNNNNNNNNNNNNNNNNNNNNNNNNNNNNNNNNNNNNNNNNNNNNNNNNNNNNNNNNNNNNNNNNNNNNNNNNNNNNNNNNNNNNNNNNNNNNNNNNNNNNNNNNNNNNNNNNNNNNNNNNNNNNNNNNNNNNNNNNNNNNNNNNNNNNNNNNNNNNNNNNNNNNNNNNNNNNNNNNNNNNNNNNNNNNNNNNNNNNNNNNNNNNNNNNNNNNNNNNNNNNNNNNNNNNNNNNNNNNNNNNNNNNNNNNNNNNNNNNNNNNNNNNNNNNNNNNNNNNNNNNNNNNNNNNNNNNNNNNNNNNNNNNNNNNNNNNNNNNNNNNNNNNNNNNNNNNNNNNNNNNNNNNNNNNNNNNNNNNNNNNNNNNNNNNNNNNNNNNNNNNNNNNNNNNNNNNNNNNNNNNNNNNNNNNNNNNNNNNNNNNNNNNNNNNNNNNNNNNNNNNNNNNNNNNNNNNNNNNNNNNNNNNNNNNNNNNNNNNNNNNNNNNNNNNNNNNNNNNNNNNNNNNNNNNNNNNNNNNNNNNNNNNNNNNNNNNNNNNNNNNNNNNNNNNNNNNNNNNNNNNNNNNNNNNNNNNNNNNNNNNNNNNNNNNNNNNNNNNNNNNNNNNNNNNNNNNNNNNNNNNNNNNNNNNNNNNNNNNNNNNNNGGGGUAGGCCAGGAAGUUCUUCAGGGAAUACGUCAGGAAAUUUAUUAACAAUAGAAAUAUCAUUCAAAUCUGACGUAUCUUUAUUUAAAUCCGUGACAUGGGCUAAGAAAGCUUGACAUCCGUUUUUCAAUAAACGAAUAGCUUUAUGACUUGAUAUGACAGUGAUUGAUUUUAGUGGUUUGGUUGCUUGAAUUCACAUAAUAGGUUGGUUAGGAAUAUGAAAGCUAACAAUUUUACGAAAACAAUCGAUUUUAGCAUGAUGAGUAGUUAACCAAUCAACCCCUAAAAUCACAUCAAAUACAAGUAUUUUCAAAGAAAUAAGAUUGACAAGUAACGCGCGGUUACCGAUUUGAAUCAAACAAGACUUGUAAACCGUAAAUGUAAUGAAGGUUUCUCCCAACGGAAUUUCAACAGAUAAGUCAAAGUCUAAUUUCUCCGGAGUCAAAUUUAAACGUUGAGCGCAAGUAGGAGAAAUAAAUGAAUGGGUAGAACCGGUAUCAAAUAAAGUAUAAACUUCGUUAGAGUUUAUGAUUAGCUUACUUGUGUUCACCUCGUUCGGAUUCCUCACUUUUUGGGAGGUUACGACAAACGCUCUCCCUUGAACUACCAGUUUUAUCUUGUCUGGGACACCCUUUGAUACCUCCAUCCCAGCUAGACUUGACUUUGGUGCACGACAAAAUCGGGCUAGGUGACCUUUUUCACAAUUAUAACACGCUUUGGACUGCAUUGUGCAAUUUGGACUUAUGUGUCCUUCCCCUCCACAUUUGUAACAUACGACUGGUGGUCAUUCUCCUUCCUUAACAACAGGUGCUGGUGCUGACGUCUUUCCAUCCUUGUUGAAUCUCCUCUUCUUGAAAUGUCCACUCUUAUUGUCAUGGCUAUGAAUAUCACCGAAAUGAUUAUCAUUUUUGGCAUGUUGAUUCCCUCCACGUUUGUUGUCACCGCUUCGAUGACUGCUACCACUGGUAUUAUCUACUUGUUGGUUGCUCUCUCUUGGUUGGGUUGACUCAUUAUCGCGCUCCAAUAACUGAGCCCUAUUCACAAUAUCUGAAUACAAACAAAGUUUGUGAGAAAUUAGGUAUUGACGUAUCUCGGGUUUCAAACCUCUUAGAAACAUCUGCGUCAUUCUCUCCUCAUUAUCAACCAAGUGGCAAACCGAGACAACUCGGCAAACUUAGCUUCGUACUACGCCACGGUCAUAUUAUUUUGCUCAAGCUUGAUGAACUCUACAUCCUUCAUGUGACAAAUACUUUCAGGAAAGUACUUGUCAUUGAACAGCUCUUGGAACUUCUCCCAAGACAUUUUGAGUGCGGCAGGUUGAGUACGCUUUACAGAUUCCCACCAGUAAUCUGUCUCUGCUCGCAACAUGAAGGUGGCAAAGGGAACCUUUUGCUCCUCGGAGCAUCCCAAGACAUCAAAUAUCUUGUUGAUCUGCAUUAUCCAUGUCUCCGCCUUAAGUGGUUUUGGCUUUCCAAAAAACUCCGGUGGUCCCAGCUCCUUGAACUGCUUAGCGGUCAGUGUUUCCACCUGCAUUUUGGACAGGAACCGCUUUCGCCUGAUGUUGCAUGAAUUACAUAAAGCCACUGAACAUCCCAUCGUUCACCAUUUCAUCGGUGUUAUUGUUUACAUGAGGAUUAUUGUCUUCCUAUUGCACAUUAUCCUGGGCAUUAAUCUGUGGUGACUCAACGGUCUCAUGUGCUUAAUUGUUUAUCUCAACAUUUUCGGAUGCCAUUUUCAAAUACUGCCACAAAACAAGGGUUAAUUAACAUAUCACAUAUUAUCCCUAUACUCUGACCGACCAAUUAAAUACCAAAUAAACUUAGGUAGGUCAUACUAGCGAAGGAAUUCCCCGUCUCUCCCCUCCUAGUUCUUGUCUCAAAUCUCAGCCAGGGAUCAUAUCCCUAAGCUUUGAUACCAACUGUGACGCCCCCAAAAUAGGUAUACAUCACCCAUCUUGAGUCACCAAAUACAUGGUACAAAAUUCAAAUACAACUUAAUUAUACAACAGUCGUGUAAAAUACGACAAAACAUAAUCUAAGAGUUUUAAUAAGAAUAUUGUCAUCUAGACAAUAUCCACACUCAAUGGAGUCCUCAUUACAUUUAUUGUCACACUAUUUAACAGAAUAGUGAGGACUACUAAUGCUAUCAUCUGGACCGUCACUCCGUUCCCCGACUAGUCCCGGCUACGUUCUCAUUUCCUGAAGAGAACAGUGAAAGAAAGGGUGAGCUCAACUAGCCCAGUAAGAAAUAUUAUGACUAAGAUAAUGCAGAAUAAAUUAUCAUUAGUCUUCAACAAUGUUAAACUGAUAAAAUACAAUAGACAUCAAGUUUAACUGCAGCGGAAUAAGCAAUCCAUUAGAAGAGUCAAGUAGAGCAUGAUAUCUACUAUCUUCUAUGAUUUAAAAUGUUUUCAUCAAUUUUUAUCGCUGAGACUCAGCUUAAUAAAUAAACCACAUCAUCGAGUCAUCCCUGCACUACGGGCCAAGGAUAUUCAUUAAAUCAUCAAUGGUCAUGACUAUACCGAAUAAUCCCUGGUCAUAAUCAUACCAAAAACUGUCCAUCAAUGCACUACAGGCUACUGAGGACUUUUACCACAUCAUUUAUAACAUUACAGGUCAUGAUUAUACCGAAUAAUCCCUGGUCAUAAUCAUACCAAGUCCAUCUAUGCACGUAAGCCAAAGAUGACUUUCAUCACAAUAUAAGCAUGAGGAUGAUGACAAUGACAUAAUAAUUCAAUAAAACAAGUUCAAGAAUAAAUUUUAAAGAUUUAUAAGUUAAUUUAUCUUGAAAUCAAUUACGUCCAAAUUGUCAACAUGAUACUGCUUUGUGGAGUAAAAUUCAAGAAUGCUCAGAAGAAUAUUUCCAUGAAAAGAUACCGGAUGAAGCGCAAAUAUCCAGGAUAUUCUACUAAUUUCAUGGAGUAUAGAAGCCAAAACUUUAACCAAAUGAGUAUCAUAGAAUAUAUGAAACUGCAAAUGGAUUUUCACCCGCCAUGCGGUAAUCCACGUAGACAGAUCAUUUCCACAAUUUAAUAAGGAAUGAAUACGAAGGAUCAUUCACCAUGCAUGUGAUAAUCCACAUAGACAGGUUAUUCCAACAGAAUAAUAAAGAAUGGAACCAGGUCAUGCGUAAUCCGCACAGACAGGAUAUUCCAACAGAAUAAUAAAGAAUGGAAUAACAGAAGAAUUCACCAUGCAUGCGAUAGACCGCACAGACAGGUUAUUCCAACAGAAUAAUAAAGAAUGGAACCAGGUCUAGCGUAAUCCGCACAGACAGGAUAUUCCAACAGAAUAAUAAAGAAUGGAAUAACAGAAGAAUUUCACCAUGUAUGCGGUACUUCGCAUAGACAGGUUAUUCCAACAUAAUAAUAAAGAAUGGAAUAACAACAGUUACGAGUAUUGAAAGAAAAUAACUCUCUUCAUGAAUACGAAAGAAUAAUACCCCUUACCUUAGAAGAAACUGGAUAUUGGAAUAGUGAGGUAGCAGACUUCUCUUCUUCUUUCUCUCUAUAAUUUCUCUCUAUAAUAAUUGCUCUAAAGCUUUAGUGAAUUGGUGAGAAAUGAAGGAAGAAUGAGCUUCUAUUUAUAGGAAAAUAUAGUUUCGAUAAUUGCACGUUUUGGGGCUCGAAAUAUUACAGUAUAAUACCUUCCUCUUUUUCUUCAUUUUUAAUUUAGUCCUGCAAGUAUUAUCAAACUUGCACCACCUCCCCUAAUAGUAAAUAAUGUGAAUCAAUAGUUCAAUCAUGUGAAUCAAUAGUUAUAAUCAUGUGAAAAUACGAAUUACAGUAUAGUACCUCCAUCUAUACCUCCAUUUUUAACUUAGUCAUGCAAGUAUUAUCAAUCUUGCACCAACUCCCCUAAUAGUACAAGAAUGUGAAUCAAUAGUACACACAUGUGAACAAAUAGUUAUAAUCAUGUGAAUUAAUAGGAAUUAAUUGCUUAUUUAUCCGGUUAAUUACCCGACUAGUCAGUAUAACUUUCAGACAUCAAUUAAUAUCGAAAUAAAUGUCGAUUUUCACUAACACUAAUAAUUCCAACACAAUGGAACUAUCAAUUUCAUCUUUAAUCAACACGAACUUAUUCAUCAUUAAUAUUAUAACUCACAAUAUUUAACAAUCAGGUCGUUCCCAGGAAAGAGGUGGCUUUCCGAUAAGGAUUUCUCCUUAUUGGCGCGCAAUUAGAUGACCAAACAUCUCCUUGACAGAACUUCUAGACAUUUUAAAUAUUGCAAUUUAAUAAUAUGAAUAACUUUGUCGUUUCAAUUAUUGAUUUAAUAAUAUAUCAUAUAAUGCAGAUGAUAUUGUGACAAUAAUCAAAUCAAUAAUAUGAGAGAUAUGAUGGAACAAUUACUAUAGCAAUAAUUGUUUAUAAUUGAGUGACUUCUCACGUAAACAUCAAUAAUCAAUACCGUGUGAUACUAUGCAACCACGCGUAUUACUGUACUUUUACUACCGGGUAGUUCAACAGUUUAACAGUAAAAUUUCCGCCGUUAUUUUUAUAAAAAGAUAAUUAUGUCGUUUUCUAACUACGACAUUACUUCCGUUGUGGGGUCCACCAAUGAUUGUGCCGUCGUACGAAUAUUCUCUGUUAAAACGAAUAUUCCCCGACCAAUCGAAUAUUAUAUAACCACUUGCUUACUUUGCAAAAUUUAUAAAUAUUACCCACAACUAUAAUAUUAUAUCAAAUCCACACCAUAAUAUUCAAAAAUAUAUUUCGAGAAAAUUAUUCUUUAUUCAUAAAAGUUGGGGUCUUACAAAUAGCAUUUAACAAUUAAAUCAGAUUAUCAGGAAUGGAUUUCAUAUAAGAAGGAAUAAAUAAUGAAUACUUAAUUAACCAUUAAUUAUAAAUAAGGUUCAACAUCCCUUAGAACUGAAAAUAAAGAACUUAGCUCAUGUCUUUAAUCUUCAAUUUCCCAAUACUCAUGUUUUCCAUGGUGUAGCUAAGAUUCAUUAUAAUCCUGACUAUUACAAUGUAUUUAUAGUACUAGACAAAGUCUUAAAUCCUAUGAGAACUAGACAUCCAAAUCCUAAAAGGAAUUAUAAAUCAUAAAUCUAGUUUCCAUAAAUAAAUAGAAAUCAAUUUGAAAAUAAAUCACAGUCUAAACAAAUCCUAAGUCUAAUAGAAAUAUCAAUCCCAUUCCUAGAAGAAAACUACAAAAAAUCGUGAAAGUCAAUUCUAGUCAACCCCGACCUGGCGCGAACGCGCCCAAGUGGCAAAGUGGCUUUUCCUACAGAUCAGCGCGGCCGCACUGCAUCCUAGGACAUUUCAGGCACGGCCGCGCCGGACCUUUAUCAGCGACGAUUUUUGAUCUUUUUCCCGUUUUAGCUCCAAUUCCUUCUGAAAUGAAUAAAUACCUUAAUAAGUCCAUUUACAUCUCAAAACAUGCAAUAAAAUCAAACGUAAAGAAAUCAAAAAUCAUGAAUAUCGAGUACUUAUCAUAAACCCAAAAAUAAUUUGUUACAUGAAUGAAAUUUUGGGGUGUUUAUUGAGCCUAGAAUAGCCAAUAAGAUGGAUGCGUGUUUAGUCACCGCAUUAGUAGAAUGAUAAACGAGUGAAAUGAACACAUUUUAUUUUUUCAUCGGUGAGAUGACUAUCAUGUUAGAAGACGUGUUUUAUAUCAUAGGCUUACCCGUGUUAGGAAAGUCCACUACUUAUGGGCUUUAUAGACAAUCGAAGAAGUUGUAAAAAACAUCUGAAUUGUUUUAAUUUGCACAAAAGGGGGAUACAACUUACGAUCGUGGUGGUAUAAACACUUCUCGGUUAGAUCAUAGAUUUAGUGAAUUAGCCCGACAAGCUACUUCCCGACUUGUUAUGAUAUAUACCAAGACAUGUGUUUUGUAUGUUAUUUGACGAAAUUUGUUUGCAAAUUCAAGUCGGAACGUAUGUCAUGCUCGGUAUUUGCUAUUUUUAGAUGAUGUUAAAAAUAUUUUCCAAGUAUGCAUGGGGUGCAACCGUGUUGGCUUGCCUAUACCACAACUUGCACAAAGCGUCAAGGAUUGGUGCAACUGCAAUCGGUGGUCGUGUUACUCUAUUGUAGGUAAUUUUAAUUAUAAGUACAUGUACCUAUAAUUUUUCAACAAAUAUGUAUGUUUAUUUAUUUGUUUAUAGAUUUGCUCUUUUUUUCUUUUUUUUUUCUUCAGGUAUUGGCAUAUGAAAGUAUUACCAUUUGGGCGCCCAAUUUAUCCAAAUGGGUGUAUAAUUCUAUUACCGCAGGCUUGUGGUUGGGCAUUUCACGGUAAGAAAGAUAAAGCCCCAUGUGGUCGACGUAAGCACCCUGCCACAACAUUAUGGCGUAUAAGAUAGAACUAGACGCCAUACGAGGAUUGGACUGGCCCUGUGUAUGAAUAGGUCAUUUACGGGGUACGUCCAGAAUCCCUCUCAUAUGGUUCGAUGCGUUAGAGUUUCAAAUGCUAGAUAGAAUAUUGCGUCAGUUUGGGGAUCUACAAGAUAUCACAAUGGAUGCAGAGGACAUGGAAAACUUACGUGCACCACAUGAGAAUAUUUAAGUAUUGGACAUCAUAACAUUAAGAUGGAUGCAAAGGACAUGGAAACCUUACGUGCUCUGAAAUUAAUCUUCCACGUAGGAUCUCUUAAAACAUCCCAAGAGGAUGAUUUGAAAACGGGGAAAAAAUAAAUAAAGAAGAAAAUUCUAGUAAUCUGGAAGGUACGUAGUACUUAUAUAGAAACCUAAAGUUCAUAUUGCAUGCUGAUAUAUGUUGGGAACAUCAAACCAUAUCUUGACUCAAAAGAUUAACCAAUUAAGUCUAUGGUCCAUUAGAACAUAUAUGUCUUUAAUCUUUCUCCUUGUGUUUGAUGUAGAAGUCUUUGGAAUCAUGUAAUGUAAUGCUUGAAAUGAAAAUGCUUUAAAGGAGGCGGGAAUCUGAAGUCUGAAACUUGGAAGAGAUUUGACAAUAUAUAACUUUUAAGGUUUUAAAUUCUAUACCGCUGAUAAAGAAAAAGAAGAAGGAAAGUGUAGUCCUCUAUAUAUAGUAAUAUUUAAUAUAUAUAAAUAAUAACAAAGUUAAGCAAAACAUAAUUAGAAAACAAAAUGUAUUAUACUUACUUGAAAUAAAAUGAAGUCAGAUUCUGGAAAUAUAAAACAGAUAAAUUCGAGUCCUUUGAAUUCACAAAGUCUUCUUAAAGCAAAUUUAUUCUCUCACCAGUGCUAAAAGAUUUGUUGAAUAAUUGCUUCCCAAGAUAAAACGGAUUUAUAAUUCUUAAUUAGUAGCACUUCAAACUUAAGAAUUCUGCGAACGCAAAUUCUAUGUUCUAUACUCGAACUUUACUGUGAUGAUUAAUGAUAUGAAUGAAGGAACGACAAUAUGCAAACUGCAGAACAGAAAUGCAAUGCAAACUGGAAAACUGAUGAGGGAACGAAAAUGUAAGAAGCGUAUAAGAAACGUAUAUACUGCAGAAUGGGAAAAUGUAUAUAUCAAGAAUGCGCGCCUAGAUGAAUUAUUUAUGAAUAUGCAGACACUAGUUCGAGUACAUGAGAAAAGAUAUUCCAUCAGGUUAAGUAGCCUAGUGGCUUUGAACUUUCCCUAGUAAAAUCUAUCGGAUUUACUUGGAUAAUCAGUAGACUUGAUGUCUUUGAACUAUCAGCUUUUCGUGUGAAUCAAGACAAUAGAAUUCAUAAAAUAUCUCUUCAUACAUAGUUGGUUCUCACGUUUGUGUUCAUUUUGGCCUUGAAACACCUCUUGGUUCCGUGAGUAUAUUAGAGAAUUCAGCCUUCAAAAUUCUCACAGAAGUGCCCCCCCUUCUUACUCACGUAGGUGAUUUUUAUCAAGAGUAUCCUGCAAUACACCACUUGAACGUAUUUCAAGAUAUAAAAGUCAUUAAAAGUGUAACUUAUCCUGAUUCUCGCGGCAUAUGUGCAAUGUCUCAUCAUAGGAAUGGUUAGGAGUAAAUAUCUCCUCAGUGCUUUACUGAGUACUACAUAGUUCGGUUUGCCCAUUGAACCUAGAUCUUGGGAUCUCCAGUCAACUAGGUUGGGUUGCCACUAUGACGACUCUUAAUUAAACAAUGACUUUAAACCCAUUCCUUUCGGUGAUCUUUCCAAUUGCUCUCUUGUUAAACCUUUCGUAAGCGGAUCCACAAUAUUAUCUUUUGACUUUACAUAGUCAAUUGAGAUAAUUUCAUUUGAGAGCAAUUGUCUAACGGUAUUAUGUCUUCGUUGUAUAUGGCGUGACUUACCGUUAUAUAGAUGACUCUGUGCUCUUCCAAUUGUUUAUUGUCUAUCAUAGUGUAUACAUAUAGCUGGCACAGGUCUUGACCAAUUUGAAAUAUCCUCUAAGAAAUUAUGAAGCCACUCAGCUUCUUCUCCAGCUUUGUCUAAAGCAAUGAAUUCUGAUUCCAUUGUAGACCUUGCAAUACAAGUUUGUUUUGAGGAUUUCUAAGAUAUCGUUGCACCUCCAAGGGUAAAGACAUAUCCACUUGUGGAUUUUGAGUCUUUAUUGUCAGAUAUCCAAUUAGCAUCACUAUAUCCUUCCAAUACUAUUGGAUAUCUUGUAAUAGUGCAAUCCAUAUUUUUGAGUAUGUUUUAAAUAUCUCAAAACUCUCAAAAUAGCUUUCUAGUGAUCUUUACCUGGAUUACUCGUAUACCGACUUAGCUUACUUAUCGAAUAAGCUAUAUCUGGUCUAGUACAGUUCAUGACAUACAUUAAACUGCUUAUUAUAUGAGAAUAUUCUAGUUGAUAUAUGCUAUCACCUUCAUUUUUGGCUAGAUGAAGAUUUAUAUCAACUGGGGUCUUAUUUAGAAUUAUAUUAUAUUUAUUAAAAUUUUCAAGUAAUUUUUCAAUAUAAUGAGUUUGAGAUAAUAUAAUUCCAUCAGAUGUUCUAGAAAUCUUGAUUCCUAAUAUUAUAUCAGCAACCCCCAAAUCUUUCAUAUCAAAUCUAUUUGCCAACAUACGUUUGGUAGAGUUGAUAACUUCAUUGUUGCUACCCAUGAUUAACAUAUCAUCCACAUAAAGACAAACAAUGACAUACUCCUUUUGAGUGCUUUUGACAUAAACACAUUUGUCACACUCAUUAAUUUUAAAUCCAUUUGAUAACAUAACAUUAUCAAAUUUCUCAUGCCAUUGUUUUGGUGCUUGUUUCAAUCCAUACAAGGAUUUAACAAGUUUGGAUACCUUCCUCUCUUGUCUAGGAGCAAUGAAACCUUCAGGUUAUUCCAUAUAUAUUUCUUCAUCUAAUUCACCAUUUAAGAAUGCAGUUUUUACAUCCAUUUGAUGUAUUUCAAGUCUAUUUAAUGAUGUUAUUGCUAUUAGCAUACGAAUAGAUGUAAUUCUUGUAACUGGUGAAUAAGUGUCAAAAUAAUCCAAUCCUUCCUUUUGUCUAUAGCCUUUAACAACAAGCCUUGCUUUAUAUUUAUCAAUUGAACCAUCAGCUUUCAUCUUCUUUUUGAAGAUCCAUUUAUACCCUAAGGGUUUAGAACUAGGUGGAAGGUCCACCAAUUCCCAUGUAUGAUUUUGCAUAAUGGACUCAAUUUCACUAUUAAUUGCUUCUUUCCAAUGAGAAGCAUCUGGAGAGGAUAUUGCUUCCUUGUACGUUUAAGGAUCAUUUUCUAACAAAAAUGUUAGAAAAUCUGGACCAAAAGACUUUGAAGUCCUUACUCUUUUGCUACGUCUAGGUUCAUCCACUACAGACUCUUUGUCUAUAUUUUCAGGAAUAUUACUAGUAGCAUCCAAAGGUCUUUUGUUUGAAUUUGAAUCUUUAUUUAUAUUAUAUGGAAACAUAUUCUCAAAGAACGAUGCAUCUCUUGAUUCAAUAAAAGUAUUAACAUGAAUAUCAGGAAUUUCAGAUUUAUGGACAAGAAAGCGAUAAUCACUACUGUUAUUUGCAUAACCAAUGAAUACACAAUCAAUUGUUUUUGGUCCUAUCUUAACCUUUUUAGGUUUAGGAACCAUUACUUUUGCUAGACACCCCCACACUCCUAAGUAUUUAUAGCAAGGUCUAUGACCUUUCCAUAAUUCAUAAGGUAUUUUGUGAAUUUUCUUAUGAGGCACUUUGUUAAGAAUAAAAUUGGCAGAAAGCAAAGCUUCCCCCCACAAAUUUUGGGGUGCUCCAGAACUAGUUAACAUAACAUUCAACAUUUCUUUUAAUGUUUGGUUCUUGUGUUCAACAAUACCAUUGGAUUGAGGUGAAUAAGGAGCGAUAGUUUGGUGAAUGAUACCAUGAGUAGAGCAUAUCUCUUCAAAUGGUGAUUCAUAUUCACCACCUCUAUCGCUUCUUAUUGCUUUAAUUUUUUUGCUAAGUUGAUUUUCAACUUCAUUUUUAUAAUGUUGAAACAUUUCUAUAGCCUCAUCUUUGCUUCUCAACAAAUAUACAUAACAAUAUCUUGUGCAAUCAUCAAUAAAGGUAAUGAAAUAUUUUUUCCCACCUCUUGUUUGCACAAACUUUAAGUCACAUAUAUCAGUGUGAAUUAAAUCUAGAGGUUCAGUUUUUCUUUCAACAGAAUGAAAAGGUAAUCUUGUCAUUUUGAAUUCCACACAAAUUUCACAUUUAUAUUUUUGAUUAAUAUCAAAUUUAGGCAAGAAUUCUAAAUUAAUUAAUCUACGCAAUGUAUUAUACUUAACAUGUCCUAAUCUAGCAUGCCAUAUAUUUAAAGAUUCUAACAAGUAAGAAGAAGAAUUAAUUUUAUUAUUAUCAAUAGACUUUGGUACAACAGUCAUUACGUUCAUCUUAAAGAGCCCAUCAGACAUAUAGCCUUUCCCACAAACAUAUUAUUUUUGGUAAGUACAAAUUUAUCAGACACAAACAUCAACUUGAAGCCAUUAUUGCUAAGUAGUGACCCAGAAACUAGAUUUUUGCGGAUAUCUGGAACAUGAAGCACUUCGUUCAAAGUCAGUUAUUUGUCAGAUGUCAUUUUCAGGACAAUCUUUCCACGUCCUUGAACCUUUAAACUUGAGGAGUUUCCCAUGAAGAGUUGCUCGUCAUUUUCUACUGGUUUGAAGGUAGAAAACAUCCAUUUGUUGGAACAAAUGUGGCGAGUAGCCCCAGUGUCCACCCACCAUUCUUUGGGGUUUCCUACCAAGUUACACUCAAAUACUACUGCAGAGAUAUUAAUGUCUGAAACAUUUUUAGAAAGCUUUUCCAGUUCUAUCACAUUUGCUUGAGCCUUUUGUUCUUUCUUGAAUUUCUUUAGCUUGCGACAUUCAUUUGAUUUAUGUCUUUGAAUGCCACAGUUGAAGCACUUGCUUUUAAAUUUUUUCCUGGCUUUGAAAUUAUCUUUGCCUUCGCGCUUCCUUUUGUUGUUAUUGUUUGGCCUUUGUUCUACCACAUUAGCCUUUGCUUCAAUGAAAUUUUUCCCAAUCUUCUCAGAUCCUCGAUUGUCCUCUUCAAUCCUAAGUCGCACAAUCAGUUCUUCAAGAUUCAUCUCUUUGCGUUUAUGCUUAAGAUAAUUCUUGAAGUCUUUCCAUGAUGGUGGAUGUAAGACCCCAACUUAUUAUAAAUAAAAUUGAAUUUCCUUUAUUCAUUAUCUUGAAAUAAUAAGGAGUUAAUUUGAUAUAAUGCUUUGGUUAUGGGAGAAAUGUGCAAAUUUUGUAAAAUAAGCAAAUGGUUAUAAAAUAUUCAUUGUUGUCAGGGAAUAUUCAAUUGGUCGUGGAAUAUUCUUGCUGUCGGAAAAUAUUCGUACGACGGCGCAGCCAUUUUUGGGCCCCAUAAUAGAAUAACUGUCGGAUGAAGAAAACGACAGGUUUGAGUUUUUAUAAAUAACGGCGUAAUUGUUACCGUUAACACUGUUGGAUUACCUGGUGGUUAAAAUAUAGUAAUACAUGUGGUUGCACAGUAGCACACGGUAUUGCACAGUAUUUUUGAAUUAUUGAUUCUUACGUAAGAAGGCACUACUUAAUAAUUGUUACAGUAAUUACUGUUCAAUAUUUUAUUUUAUUGAUUCAAUAAUUGCUACGUUGAUAUUUUAUAUUAUUGUUGUUUCAAUAAUUGUCAGUGUACAGUGUUUCCAUUAUCAGAUCAAUAAUUCAUAUUAUUUGAAUAAUAUUAUUAAAUAGCAUUAUUGGCAAUGUCUAAGGAAGUUCUGUCUAAGAAAAGGUGUUUGGUCAUCUAAUUGCGCGCCAGUAAGGAGAAAUCCUUAUCGGAAAGCCCCCACUUUCCUGGGAACGACCUAGUUGUCAUAAUUAUGAUUCUGUAAUAUUAUUUGUGAAUAAUUAAUUAUUGAUUUAUAUGAUAAGGAAAUAUUUAUUUUAUGUGGAUAUAAAUGAUGGAUAUAUNNNNNNNNNNNNNNNNNNNNNNNNNNNNNNNNNNNNNNNNNNNNNNNNNNNNNNNNNNNNNNNNNNNNNNNNNNNNNNNNNNNNNNNNNNNNNNNNNNNNGAACCUGCUCUGAUACCAAUUAUUAGUUCCCGGAGGCACAAUAGUUAUCUAGGGGGGGGGGUUGAAUAAAUAUUUAAAAAUUUUCUUGUUUUACUUUGUUAGUUUUGAUAAUGAUUCAAACACAACGAAAUUAAGAUUUGUUUGAUCCCCCUUUAAAUAGCGAGUUAAUGAGAGUGAAGCAGAUAUAAACAGUUAUAGCAGUUAUGCAAUAGACACAACAGGAUUUAAGUGGUUCAGAGCACUUAAAGCUCCUAGUCCACUCUUCUACUCCUCGAAUAGGAAAUCCACUAAGGAUGUCUUUUACGCUUUCUGAAUCUCACAGAUUCCUUCUAGACCAGCAGUCUAGGAACUUCUUAGUUCACUUUUGAACUCUUCAAGUCCAGCAGACUUGGCUCUUCUUAGUUCACUUUAUAACUCUACAAGUCCUUCUGACUUGGAACUUCUUUCUUCACUUGAUUUGUAGUUGAUGAGUUCUUGUAAUGCUACUCAGUUACAGUUUAGCUCUUGUUCGAAAGAACUGAGUAGCUGAGCAAGCUUUCUUUUCUUCUCAGAUUGUAGAGUUGAGCGUUGAGUGUUCUUAUCAUUUCUGUUCAAUACUUGCUUACUUAAUCAUCUGCAGAUGUCUUGCAUAUAUGUGAUCUUUGAAAUCUGCACGUUGAAUCCAUCCGUUGAAGCAUUUAAUACAUUUGACAUUUCUAAACUUGGAUGGAGACUUUUCUGCAUAUCUUCUGAAAUGCAUUCUGGCCCACUGACAUAGCAGACUGCUUUCUCACCCAACACCUGAAAAGGUGUUUUCUUUGUCCCAUGGUCCUUUCCUUAGCUUCUUCAAUACGUCUUUUUGUUGCAUACUAAGGAUAUUUUCAUGCCAUUGGGACUGGUGAUUACUUCAACGUUUGUAACCCAUUCCACAUUUAUUAAGAUUUUAUCUUUGAACAAAUGAUCAAGGCCACAACUUCUGACACAGCCAGAUGAUACUCUACGAUUCUUAUCGUGGUGUCUUGCCACCUUGGUGCUUGAUGCAACCAAACGAGAACACUACGAUUUCUCUUAAGGGCUAGCACACUACGAUCUUCACUUGCUUGUCUGGCAGACUCUACGUUUCUGAGAACACUCUACGGUCUUUAAGUUAGCUUCGACAAACAUCUGGACCACACUACGAUCUCUGGAGAGGCCCUUCAAGGUAGUCAUACUAUGAUCCUUGAUGCUCUACGAUUUUUCCUUGGCUUCUGCAGACUCUUGCUCAGCUCAUUGGAUAGCAAAUCUGUUUGGAGCCUAUCUAUUACAUUUCAAGAUAUAGAUCAACCUAACAUCUUUGAUCUCUUUAUCUAUACAUUCAUUUACAGAAUGAUGAACAUUGAAAGUUUAGAUCAACCUAACAAUUUUGAUCUAUCAUUAAGUCCUUGUACAUAUAUUCCUUGAAGGACUUCACAUAUAAUCAUGAACGUUUACUUUAAACAUCAAAUCAAGAUAUGCAUUCUUCCAACAAUCUCCCCCUAUUUGAUGUUGACAUAACUAAGGAGAUUCGUUGUCAUGAUUAUCAAAAUCUAGAUGCAAUUGCUAGAAAGUAAAUAUGACUUAAUAUUUCAGUGAGCAGCUGAAAUUUCUAGAGAAUAAGCAUGAAUUUAUUGAUGUUUAAGAUAGAUAUUACAUUUAAGUUCAGUUACAUCAAUAAGAAUUAAAAUUCAACUUAUCUCUAUUUCUUUGGCCUUUUGCCUCGUGGAGGAUUUGCAUACUCCUCAGCUCUUCUUUUCCUGCUUGCUUCGUCUCUCCUGGCUAGAUCUUCCAGCUCACUUGGACUUAGUCUUGGAUUAUGAUCAUGCCUAUUCAUGAAUGCAAGAUCUCCAAUUGGCAUUCUUAGGCCUGUGGUGGUCACUUCCUGUGAAUUGGGAGUUGGCCCUAGACUCCUUAAUGGUUGAGCCAUGAUGAUUGGCUCAUCAUCAUAUUGUUGAGUAUGAUGGCCAGAUCGUGGAGUCUGUUGGUGAUACUGCCUUGGAGGAAGAUUCCUUGAAGAUUGAGCUGAGAAUGUGCCUCUGCCUCUGCCCUUGCCUUGACCUCCUUUCCCUUUAUUCUCCCCCUUUAUGUCAGCAUCAAGGUUUCGAAUGCCAUCUGAGAGGCGAGUCAUUCCUUGGACAAGCUCGUUGAGCUGACUUUGGGUUUAAGCAAUGUCCUCUCGAUUUUCUUUAAUUAGAGCAUCAGAUCGAGCAUCCCGUCGUUGGAGGAUAUCCAAGUAGUGUCAGUCUGUUUCAUUUGGCCCAUUUAGAAGUCCUGAAAUUCUUAAUUUCAAUGUAGUUUCGAGACUUGUGAUGUUGUUUAUCAUAAGUUCAUUAUGAGAUUCCUGAGCCUUUUGUAGGAUCAGAAGAACAUCCCUAUGUCAUUUAGCAGCUUGAAAAUGGAUCUGAUCGCGAUCAUUUAUGCUCUGAAGCAUUUCUUUGAUGAUUUCCCUAAGUUUCUUUGUGAGCUCAGAACUUAGAGUGCCUGGGAGAGCAUUGGCAACAUUGAUCAUAUUUGUCAUUCGCAUUUGAACAAGUUCAGUGUGAUCUUUAAGACUUUUUUCAAUGUCCUUGGUCACUUUCUUGGAUGCUUCUAACAGCUCAGUUUUGGUAGGCAAAUCUGAGAUGAGUUCAAUGAGUUUUGGACUGUGAGGAGGAGGGGCCCUGGUGUAGUGAUCUUGCAUGGUAGAAAGAGAAAGAUCAAGGCUGAAAUAUUCAUUUGUGGAUGAGGAGGGAAUAUCGGAUGGAGGGGUCUGUGUUUGGGUGUCUGGAGUAGGUGGCUCUACGAUCUGAGCGAGGGACUCUACGAUGGGGCUAGAGUCUAUAAUCGUAGAGAUGAGAGGAGUUGGAUCAAUGUGAAGUUGGGCAUAUUUGGUUCAUCAGUUACAAAAUUUUGGGAUUCUGCAAUUGGGAAUUGAUUUAGUGGAUUAAGAACUACUUCCAGCCAGCUUGGAAAUUCAUAAAAUUGGUUGAAGAAAGAUAAUGGAUAGUGAUUAACUCUGAACAAGAUUGGUAUAGAUAAUACCUCAUACACCAUUCUUGAAGAGGGACCAUUUGUGAUCAGCUGUUUGACAAAGUUGAAGUUGCCUGGAAAUCCAUGAGCUAGCACAGAGAUGGCUGGAUAUUCUUUGAAGCUCCAAAAUAUGUGAUUCCAGGAGUUUAGGAUUUGAGCUUGAUGAAAAGGCAUCAUGGGUAGAUAGGAGAACAGUUGCUCGUAGUUAGCUUUUUGAUACCCAUUAAUGCCCACAGCUAUGAUCUCGACCUCAUCAUCUUCGUCCUCUUCUCUGUCUUCGUUCAAGGAUUCCACUAUGACAAUGGCUUCAUUUUGUUCUUGCUCUGGUUCUCCCUUAUUUUUUGCAGGAAUAACUUCUUCUAUCAUGGGGAUAUCAUGAGGCUCCCCCUCAACAUGAUCAUCCUUCUGCAGGACUAGUAACUCCCCCUCAGCUGGAAUAUUUUUUAGGGUGUUAACUUCAGGUAUCUCCCCCUCAGCUUGAGCUUUGUCCUUUUGGCUUUCUCUGGAUAGUUCCUUUUCAGCAGCUAUCUUAUUGUCUUCCUCUUUGAGUACCCUUUCAUUGACAAGGAUGUACUUCUUAACCAUUUUUCGUCUUGGUUUUCUAGGCUGAGCCACAGCCUCAGGACUUCUUUGAGCUUCAACUCUGUCCUGUUGGUCAGCCAGAACAUCUGAUGCAGCAAUUUCUAUGCUCGAGGUGUUCAGUCUGGUCUCUACGAUCGGUAGAGACUCUAUGAUCGAAGAGACAUAUGGCCUCUUAGAUUUUUGACUGAUUUUGUUCUUCUUCAGCAGCUGUGAUAUGGUAGCUCUGUCUUCAUCUGCCUCAGCCUGGUGUUUUUUUCUUCUUAGGAUUCUCAGAGUCUCAAUGUCAGAGGACUCGACAGGUUUUUCAGUAGUUGAUCCUUGGGGUUCUUCUGUCAUUCUAGCCUUUAGCUUUCUCUUGCCCUUGCUUUUUCUGACCAGGGCAGUGCGUUCUUCCUUGUUGGUUUCUUCUUCAUCUUCUUCAGUCUCCCUAACAACUGACAUAUUCCCUGGAAUCCCUGAUUCCUUUGCAACAGCAGUCCUACCACUGGACUCAGACAUCAUUCGUACGUUUUCAGCUGGAUUCUUUUUCCAGUUCUAGAACAGUUGCUGGGUCAUUCUUCUAUUUGGAUUUAUUUGUUCACCUUCAUCAUCCUCAAUUUAAUCGCCCAAAGCGGACUGUAGAAUGAUACUGAUGAAUCGUCCGUAGAGCAUCUUCUCAGAGCUUUUUGAUUUCUUUGAGCUAAGAAUCCACUUUCCAAUCCAUUCAAGCAGCAGGGCUCCAUAGUUAAGCUGUAUCCCACAACUGAUGGCUGUCAUGAGCUUGAGCUGUACUUCGUUUACAGAAUCAUGGCCUGAGGUCUUGCAGCAUAUACAUUUUCCAACAAUGUCAGCCAAAGAUUCGUACCUCUGAGGAAACUCCUUUUUCUUGUAUCCUUUGACAAUGGGGAAUUUCUUGUGAUGCAUCCUUUUAAGUCCCUCAAGGAAAUCUAUGCCAUCUAUGAACGAAAACCCUUCAGAUUUAAAACCUAAGGCUAGGUUGAUGCCCUCAGCCUUCAGCUUGAUUUCCACAUCCCUGACUUUUGUAGUGAUGACGUCGUUUUCGAACAUACCAUUUCUGUAGAAUUCUUUUACUAGCUUUGGGUAGAUCAGUGUGGCCGUACCCAGAGCCUCUUCGAGACCAGCCUUCUUUAUUAAUGACAGAGUUUUGUGAAAUUUGGGUUCAGCUGUUUUGAACUCGUCGAAACAAAGUCUGUAGCCAAAGAUGACGUUGGAGGCUGCCAUUGAUUUCUUUGCAAGGAGUAUGGUUGUCUGAACUUUUUUACGAUUUAGGGUUUCUGCUUGUAUAGCGAAAGAGAGAGAUGAGCUUUUUGAACUUCUGAUUUCAAAAAGGCAUUUUUAAUUUGUACUUGUAACUUCCCUCUCUCCAUUUUGCUUAGUGGGACAGGUGUCGAAUUUUGCUUGGCUUUACGGAUCUGACUGAGGAGGAUUGUACUGAUUUGCCCUUAGCUCCUUCUGAGCUAAUGUAUCCUUAGGAAGGACUACAAUCGUUGAGGUGGCCUUUAUGAUUGUUGAGUCUGCUUUGCAUUCGUUGUGUCUGCUCAGCAACCGUCGUAUCUGCUCAGCAAUCGUCGUGUCUGAACUGCAAUCGUCGAGUAUGACCGAGUCCUUGUGAUAAACUUUUGACUUAGCAAUCUUCUCAGUUUAAGGUAACUCAGGAAGGGCCAACCUCAUAGAGUGAAUCAAGGGUUAGGUUUGUUCCUGUGACGCCCCCAAAUCUGGGUACUUGAAACUCGAACUCGGUGCUUCACGAUACCAUUUCUAUAAGCUGAAUAAUACUAAUAAUAAUAACAAUAAUAUAAAAUUCAAACUUAAUUUACAUAUGCAUCAAAGUUUACUCCCAGGUACGAGACCUUUAAACAUUCAUUACAUCAUAGAUAAUAAGUAUCAUUGUCUUAAUAAACUAUAACUAUUACACAUCAUAUUAUAAAUCUCAUUCGAACAGCUUUCCUUUCCCCUUGUUCUUGCUUGAGCCUUCGGGUUGAUCAUACUUAACUGAAAAUAUUUAAUUUAAGCAAGAGUGAGCAUUUGAGUGCCCAACAAGUAAUAACAAAUAUAUUCAUUAGCUGAAAGGGUUAAAUGUUUUCUUUGUACUACCCUUCUACAACAAGUCAAUAGUUGUGAAGUAAUCUGAACCGAUAAUAAUAACAACUCUCUAUCAAAUUUUUGAAACUAAGUAUUGACUAUAAAUAGGGUUAAGGUGACAUACUAUGAACAUUGUUUUCAAUUUUCGAAUAGGUUUAGCAGAACUUCAUCCGCAAACCGUCAUAACUUACGGGCACGGGGGGUGAUCAGCUCGUUGUACACUGUAUUGAUCAAUACUACAUUGCAAGAACGAUGUUAUCUUUCACUCUGUCCACCUUGGGUCCAUAAAAAGUUUUCCCCGUGUAAUGGAUGUUCAUACUUGUCGGGGUUCCAAACCAAAGCAAUUCGGUUGGAUAAUAAUAAGGUUUUAUCUUGUUCAACAAUAAUCUAUAAUUCAACAUAGAUAUAUAUAUAUAUAUAUAUAUAUAUAUAUAUAUACGGGUAAUUAACAAAGGUGUAUCAACAUGUGAUGAAAUACAAUGAUUAUCCAAGUGGGGACACUUGUAUAACCAUUUACAGAAAUUAACGAACAGAAUAUAUAUCUGAAUUACCAUAUACUAACAUGUUGAUAAUCAAUGAGCGUAUAUAAUAUAGGGUUAAUAAUCUGUAUAGUAAUUAUAUAAUUCUGAAACAUUCUUAUUUAUGUCCAUUGCAUAAAGAAAAUGCAAAGGUAGGAUACUUGCCUGAUGCGCUGCUUACAAUUCGCAACUUAGUUUUAUCUUUUAUGUAAUCGCCUAUCAGUAAUAAGAUCAUUUUACUGAUUAGAAUAACAUAUCACAACACAUAAUACUGCCUAUUGCAGUCAGCACAUAACCUAAUCACCUUGUCACACAUAUCCCAUAGUCAUUGAAUCACAAACAAUCAUUAAUACAAUCAAAGUAUUUAAGUCCUGAUCAAUUUUUGAAACAUGUGACAGUUUUAUCGGGUAAUAAUCGAGUCUAAGACUCUAUCCAGUUAGUUCAAUAACUGUAAUUAUCAAACAUAUUAUUUUAAAUGACUUAAAAUAAUUUUUAAACACUUAUUAUAAUUUAUCAGAAAUUUUUAAAUACCGGAAUCAUAAUUAAAUGAUUUAAAUAUUAAACAAUUCUACUAUCAUUAACAUUUAAUCAAUAUUAAACUAUUAAGGUUAUUUAUAAUAACUCAAAAAUAUUUUUAAAGUAUUAAUAUUAUCCUUAAAUAAUUUUUAAAACAUUUAAAAUCAUUUUUAAAUAAUUAUCAUUAAUAUUUAAAUAUUAAUGUACUAUGUAUCCAAAUAUUAAAAGUCAUUAAUUAUAAUUUAAAAUAUUUUUAAUUCAUUUAUAUCCUUUUUAAAUGAUUUUUAAAUUAAUAUAACCAUUUUAAAACUAUUUAUUUAAUAUAAUUAUUAAAUAAAUUUAAUAUCAUUAAUGUUAAAUUAAUAUCAUUAAUAUUAAUUAUUAAUGAGAUUAUCCUUUAAAUAUUAAAAGUUAUAUUUUAUAACUUUAAAAUAUCUUUAAACACUUUAUUUUUAUUUAAAAAUGAUUUUUCUAAUAUUAAAAUCAUUUUUACAUUACUUUAUUUAAUAUAAUUAUUAAAUAAAUAUAAUAUCCUUAAUAUUAAAAUAUUAAUAUUUUUCAUGACAAAAUAUCAAAAGUUAUAUUUUAUAACUUAAAAUAUUUUUAUAACCUUUAAAUUAUUUUUAUAUAAAUUUUAAAUCAUUAAUUCUAUUUUUCAUCAUUUAUUUAAUACAUUUAUUAAAUAACUUAAUCAUUAUUAAUAUUAAUUAUUAAUGAAAUUCAUCAAAAAAUAUUAAAAGUUAUAAAAAAUAACUUAAAAUAUCUUUUUAUAUCAUAACAUAUUUUUAAAUGAUUUAUCAUGUAUUAAAAUCAUUUUUAAAUAAUUUAUUUAAUAUUACACUUAAAUAAAUUAAAUACCUUUUAUAUUCCAAAAAUAUUAAAUAUUUAUGAAAUAUACUUAAAAUAAUGAAAAACUACUUUUUGGACUUUAAAAUAAUUUUUUAUAAUUUAUUUUGUAUUUUUAAUAAUUAAAAACUAAUUUUUCUAUUUAUUUAAUUAAAAUAAUUAAUUUAAUAAUUAAACUAUCGUUAAAGGUACAUUAUGCGACAAAACUGUCGCUAAUGGUGUUCUUCACCAAACCCAGAACACGCAUGUCAGUGAACGAGUGACCAGGUUUGACCAUACUUAAUUAUAUGCUCCAAUCGAUUUCUGGGCUUGAAACUGUGUUAGAGUUGUAGUACAGAUGUAGCACUACAACCACAAACAAAUAGUAUAGCUAUAACAUGCAACAACAGUAAGAUAUGAUCAAUCAAAAACCUUGUCAGAUAUGUUCUUCAUUUCUGGGUUACCCAAAAAUGAAUAACAGUCUAAGGUGCCACUUUCUAGCCUCCACUACAUGCUAAUCGUGUAAUAUUUUUGUGAUCUAACAACUUCAGUGUCUAGCCAACAUGUAGGACUACAGAUCUAAUAUAUAACAUAAACAAAACAUCAAAAUAAUCAACAGUUACAAGCUGGUCAACUCUUGUCAGAAAUAAGCUCCUAACAGUUUCUGGAAAUUCCCAGAAAUGGUGAGUCAGUGCGAGUGGCCUACUUUGACCACUUGCUACGAUCUACCUGUUGAUUAUCUAUACGAUCUAAAGUCAUGGAAUCAUAGAACACAUAACAGGCUACAAGUUUAAUACAACAAAUAACUAAAACAACAUCAGUACUGACAUAUCAAAGUCAUGGAAAUACUUGUCAGACGUGGUUCGUGGCUUUCUGGGCUGCCCAGAAAAGGCCCGGUCAAUGUCGGUCAACGGCCUUUGACCGUUAAUAACUGCCAAUAUAGACAUCAAAUGACUGAUUAUUUUUGUAGAUUAACGACCACAUUACAGGCUACAUAUAACAACUUAAAAACAACUAAAAACAUAAUCGAGCAAGGAUCUGUGGCCACUGACAUUCGUUGUCAGACCACAAAACCAACUUUUUCUAGAUUUUUGAAAAACUUAAAUUUUGAGCACUUUGAUGUUAUGGAUCUAACAAAUACCAACCCAGAUCAACUAUAUGGACAACAAACAACAUGUUUUAACAAUAAAUCAAAACAUCUAACAUCAAAUCACAUGAUUUUUAAAUUAGGGUUUUUGUACCUUUUCUAAGCAUUGAUUUUGAUGCCGACUUUCUGAUCUGUUAAUGAUAAUCGUGGAGCUUGCUUUGUGACUGAUCUAACACUAAAAUUUCGUGGGUUUGGUCUUGAGAGAAUAUGGUUAAGUGCUUGUGAAUAAUUUAGGCCAUUAAGUGAACUUUCUCUCUCUUGAAUCUAUAUGUACAUCAUAUGGGUGCAAUGAACUUGUAAUGGCUGAUCAUGUGCUAGCAAUCUUAGCUCAUAGGUAGGUCUAGGGUAGGGUGGCUGCAGAUUUUGCAAGAUUUGCUUACAAUAAUUCACAAAAGAGACAAAAAGGGUACUUUAGUAAUUUCACUUAUAAUUUCAAUGUGAAAUUUAAAUAGGCACACUUAGAAGGGGGGGUUGAAUAAGUGUAGGCACAAACUAUGUCCAAUUUUUAUUUCUUAUAAAAAGUCCUUUGGAUGUUUAAUGCAGCAAGCUGGAUUACCAAAUCAGGAUAUUAUUGAGAUAACCAGUUUACUUAUAUGAAUAGAAUGUAGGCCGCUGGUUAAAUAACAAGAUAGUCAAGCAAUCACACAAACAUCAGAAUUUUUACGUGGUUCAACUACUACCCUCUAGAAUAGUAGCCUAAUCCACGUCCAAUACCAACUAGUAUUGGAGACUCACUUUUAUUAACUCUUUCAAUUACAAUACAAGUUCUAGCAAUUCGAACACCUUUGUUCCCUGUGCACCUAUGCACUCUUAAGAACCUAUGUUUUCCCCAAACUUGACUGUAAUGAGUUAUCAAUUCAAACAGGAUUAAUCACAAUAAAGUAUUGAUUAAGAUAUCAAAAUAUAAGAUACACACUAGAGGUCUAAUGAUCAAGCAAUGUAUCGCUCACCAACUUAAGGCUCUAGUAUUAAAUGAAAUGAUAUGCAAGAAGAAUAUUACCAGAAUAUUUUCUAUACGUUUUUCGUAGCUGCAAUUCUGUUCUUAAUGCAAUCAAUGUCUGUCUCAGUGAAAAAUAAUUUCGUAGCAUGUAUGCGAUAAAUUACUGUGUAUGUUUUUCGCGUGUAAGUAUGUUAAAGAGCUCAGUUUAUAUAGACCACUUCCAGGAUAUUACCGUUGCAAGGUUUGCUGCUGUGAUAUGCUGAUUAAAACAUUUUGCACAAAUCUUGCCGUUCUAUAUCAAUCAUGAUCUACUCAACUUGAUUUCAAUCACAGAGAUUCUAUUUUAUGAGAAAUCAUGCCAUCAGUAUUUAAGGCUUAAUUGAUUUCCAUUGCAUGGGAGAAAGGCUUGAUGCAGAUUACUUACAGUCCCAAUUACAAAGCCGGAAUUUAUUACCUUAUAUGCCCAUAAACAUUUGCUGGCAUGUUUCCAUAUAUCUUAACAUGCAUUGGUCCGUUAGAAUUAACCAAUUAAGUUGCUCAAAUCGUGAGACGAGAUUAUGGCACAUGAUUUCUGCUAUAAGUAUGCAACAUAUGGUAAUUUAUGCAAUCAACUCGUUACCUUAAAUAAUUUCCUAGAUUUACGACCCUUGAUUUAUUACGCAUAAUUUGUGCAGCAUGAUGAGGCAUGAUCUAUGAUGUCGUGUUUUGAGCUUACUAUACUAUAUCUUCUGACAUGUGUCCAUAUAUCUUACCUUAUAUUCGGACACCCAAUUAGAUCCCUUGAAUCGUGGGAUAAUAUUAUGAAGCAAAACUUCUGGUAAUAUGAUUACCCCAUUUCUUGCUCUACCGAAUAUAACUAUUUAACAAGAUUUGAUUCCUUACGUGAGCAAUUCUGGCCAUGCAUAUUAUGAGCUAGUUAAUUAACAUGUAACAUCAAAUAUGAAUGCAAGUAUAUAUAUGUAAUGCACAUGUCCUAGAGCCUUAUUUCGGAAAGUAAUAAAUGCUAAGAUCUUACAUAUAUUCCUAGGACUCAAAUUAGCUUUUCUUUCUUCAAAGACUUCUUAACUUUAGACCUUCUUCCUUGAUGUUCCUGAAAUGUUAUAUAACAUGGUUAAUGAACAAAUAUGGUCAUCAUCAAAACAUGGAGUGUGACAUAAGUCAACACAAGGGUAUUCUUGUCCAAUGUGCUUGAAUCUAGGGUUUAUUUACUAGAUUUUAAAUCUUAAAGUUUCCCAAAUAAUUUCUAGGGUUUGAAAAAUUAGAAUUAAAGUGUAAUAAAAUAUUAAUUAAAACACAUCAAUUUAAAAUUAGGGUUUAAAUAAUUAGGGUUCUUUAAUAUUAUUAGGGUUCUCAAAUUAACAAUUAGGGUUUCCUAAUUAUCAUUAUAAUUUACUAAAACAGUAAUUAGGGUUUUUAAUUUUAGCAAAUUUGGUUUUCAAAUAAUAAUUAGGGUUUCUCCUAAUUACAGAAAUUAUAUAAUACACAGUAAAAUUCAUAUAACCCAAUUACUACACAGUCUCGAACUCAUAAUCGAGUUUAACAAUUAUGGUUUAAUAACACGAUAUGAGAGUUAUGACACAAAUAAUCAUAAUUGACCAACCAUUAUCAGUCUACACAUAUACAAUACAUAUUUAUAGCACUGAAAAAUCAAAAUAUAAUUAAUAAUAUAUUAUUAUUCUCAUCCCUUGAUAAAAAUCCAAAUUUAGGGUUUGGAUUCCAUAUCUGGUUCAUCCUCCAUAUAUAACAUCAAUAAUUAAGUUAAAAUAAUUAACUUAAAUAUUCUGAACACAUUCAUAGAAUAAAAUAUUUAUUAUCAUAAUUCUAAUAAUCAUUUCGUAUAUUAUUUAAAUAAUAUAAAAUCAUGUUUUCAUAGAAAAUAAUUAAUAAAACAUUUCUGCUACAAAAAUUAAUUACAAUAAGAAUAUAAUUUGUAAUGAUUAAUAAUUCUAAAAUUAUUUAUAAUUUUUUUUAGGUAAUAAAUAUAUUUGCAUUUAUCGUUCACAUUACUUGACACAUAUUCUCAUCUUUAAAAUAAAAAAAAUUAUCUGCAAAAAAAAAAAUUCUUAUUUAUUUAUAUGAAAAAUAUCAGGUUAUUACAGUUCCUGAGGCGCUUAUCAGAGAAAUUGCUUUGUUUUGAACUUUAUCAUCACAGGAUGCUCCUUUGUUUUGUUGAUGGGAUUCUGCUAUCGUUGAGUUUGCACUGUAAUCGUUGAGUCAUGUCACUUUAGCUCUACGAUCGUGGACUUCCUUUGAUCAUAGCCUUUAUAUCUAUAUAGUUAGCAUAAACUAGAGCAUGUUUUUCAUGGUUGUAAGUUAAGCAUGCCUAGCUCACUUAUUAACUUGUUAAACCUGAAUUCAUCUAGAGGCUUUGUAAAGACAUCAGCCUGAUUUUCAGUAGGGAUAUAUUGUAAAGAUAUAGUUCCAUUUUGCACAUGAUCCCUAAUGAAGUGAUACCUUAUUUCUCUAUGUUUAGUCCUAGAAUGUAUGACAGGAUUAUGAAUUAUUGCUAUUGCAUUUGUGUUAUCACAGUGAAUAGAUAUGGAUUUGAAUUCAAACACAUAAUCUGCUAGCUGAUUUUCAUCCAUAAGAUCUGAGCACAGCAGUUGCUAGCAACAAUGUAUUCAGCUUCUGCAGUUGAAGUAGAUACUGAGUUUUGCUUCUUGCUAAACCACGACACAAGUCUGUUUCCUAGCAAUUGACAGGUACCACUGGUACUCUUUUUAUCUAUUUUGCAGCCUGUGAAAUCAGCAUCUUUGUAUCCUGUUAGUUCAAAUAAGGACUCCUUGGGAUACCAAAGCCCUAAGUGAGGUGUCCCUUUGAGAUAUCUGAAAAUCCUCUUUACGGAAGUUAAAUGUGAUUCUUUAGGAUUAACCUGAAAUCUAGCACAUAUGCAUGUUGCAAACAUUAAGUCUGGUGUACUGGCAGUUAGAUAUAAAAGAGAGCCUAUCAUACCUCGGUAUUGAGUUAUAUCAAUACUUUUAUUUUUUUCAUCUUUGUCAAGCUUGGUUGCAGGAGCAAUUGAGGUUUUCAUGGGAGAGGUUGAUUCUAUGCCAUACUUCUUAAGUAAAACUUUAAUGUACUUAGCUUGGUUUAUGAAGAUUCCUUCAUCAGUUUGCUUUACUUGUAGUCCAAGGAAGAAAUUCAGCUCACCCAUCAUACUCAUUUCAAACUUGCUCUGCAUAAGCUUGGAGAAUCUCUUGCAUAACUUUUCAUUAGUAGAUCCAAAAAUAAUGUCAUCAACGUAUAUUUGAACUAAUAAGACUUUAUCUUUAUGCUUUCUAAGAAAUAGUGUAGUAUCUACUCUACCUCUAGUGAACCCAUUUUCAAUAAGAAAGUUAGUUAGUGUUUCAUACCAUGCUCUAGGUGCUUGUUUAAGACCAUAUAAGGCUUUGUCUAAUUUAUAAACAUAAUUUGAAAUAGAUGGAUUGAUGAAACCUGGAGGUUGCUCUAUAUAGACUUCUUCUUGAAGUUCACUGUGACACCCCCAAACCCAGGUACUUCAUUCCCACAAGAUUUGGUGUUCACUUAAUCAAACAUUCAUAUCUAACUACCCAAUCAUAAUAAAAUUGAAUAAAUAAAACCUUCCCCAUUAAAGGGUUACAUAAUAAAAAUCUCCCAGGUUGUUUAACCUUUAAAUACAAUCAUUCAAAUGCGGAAAAUAAAUAAACUUCAUUACAACCAUUCAAUUGAAAACUGAUAAUAGAAUAUCAUCAUAUUACAAAUCUUCAAUACUUGUUCAUCUUUCCUUUCCCCUUACUGGUGCUAGGUACAUCAACCUUCUCAUCUUUAACUGUAAUAGUUAUAUAAGCAAGAGUGAGCAAACAAAGCUCACUUGAAACCACAAUGAAUGAAAAUCUUUACAUCAACUGUCAAAUAAGAGGCUCAAAAGAAUUAAAUAAUAUGAUUUAUUAACAUUCUGAAGUAUAUAACUGAGGGUCCUAAGACAACGAACUAUGUCCAUAGUUAUAAGUAAUUUUUCAACUUAAACUUUAACAGUCAUAAGACUAUAGGGACUCCUCGUACUUAGGGGGAUCAGCCCUUCGUACAAUGUAUUGUGCACAAACAUUUCAACGCUAAGCGUAAAUUACCCCUAAUAAUAGGGUUGUUCAUCUCAGUAUUUAGAGUACAAGUCCGCACCAAAGUGAGUUUGGUUUGGAUACAUUUCAAGGUAAUUUGGAAUUCGACGAACAUCAACUAAGGAUUAGUUGAAUAAAAUCAAUAACAUUACAUUAUGGAAUAAUCAUAACUGAAUCGACAUGGUAAAUUAAAAGCAUGCUUUAGGAAUAAUCUAAUAGCAUACAUAUUGAAUAACUAUAGCACACCUUGCUUGAACAAUAAUAAGCCAAGGUUAUUUAAAAUUGAAUACUAAGCAUGCAUAGCAAUUUAAACGAUAAAAUUGUUCAACAUUAGUAUAUAUAAAUUUGCAUGCUAAACAACAAGUUAAAUACAAGAAUAACUUGCUCAAUAUCAAAAAUUAAAGUUUAGAAACCUUGCAUCAUUAUAUUGUAAUCGAAUUGGAAACAAAAAUUGGCUCAACAAGAUAAUAUAUUAGAGAACUUGCCUUGCUCGUAAGUUAAACCGAACAAUUUGAAUCACAAUAUCCUAUAUACAUAUGUCAUCAUGACAUAGUUAGUCACUACCACUUUACAAACAUAACUAAGUACACUCAUCAUGUAAGAUUUGAUUUUUAAUCACAUAAUCACGUUACAAAACAAGUUAAUUGUUAAUAACAUGCUCAUUCAUGGUAUAGAAAUACUAAAAUCAUAACUUAACAGUCCUACUAUUAACACAACAAUUCCUUCAGAUUUUGAGUACAAAAAGUACACUGUCAGACCAUUCUGCCAACUCGCGCUGCAGCGCAACAGUUAUACUGUGGGUCGGCGCUGCGACACGGUGAUGGAGCUGCGGCGCGAAAGUUGUACUGCGAAGCCGCGCUGCGGCGCCGAAUUACAGACUUCGGCAGACAGCUUCGGCAACAGCAUGAACAAAAGCCAAUUUUGGCCUACAAGCUACUUUCUAACAGCCUAAUUAACAUGUAAUUUAUAUAGUGACUUUAUAUAAACAUAAUUCAAAGACUCUUAACAUGUUUCUACCCAUAAAACAACAUAAACAACGAAUUUAAAACAUCCAAUUUCACUAUUUUUGAUAAAAACUCAUUUUUUGAUGUUUUCAAUGAAAAUCAACAUUGUGAUUUUAUUUUUCAACCAAAAUAGUUAAUUCAAAGCACCUUAUUUAUGUUUAUACCACCUCUUUCAAAUACAAUAGUCAAUUUAUCAACUAAAUAACUAAUUAAACCUUAAUUUCUACCUUAAACUAAACCAUAUUCACAUAUAUUCAUAUAAACUCACUGUAAAAUAGUUUUUCUUCACAAACCACGUACCUAACAUCAAUUCAUUGACUAUACUCAUAUAUAACCUAUGAAAAUAGUUUUACAACACUAGUUUAUCAUAUAAAGCCACAUACAAUCAAGCAAUUUAUCCUUUCACAAGAAUUUUACAGAGAAUUAGGGAAGAGAAAACUAAAAUUUUAAAAACUUAAAAGGGUAGGAUGAUACCUUGUUUGUAGAAGAUGAUGGCUAUCCUUUUGAUUAUCAAGCUUCUUUUCCCCAAUUCCUUUCUCAAAUUCUCUAGCCUUUCUUCCUCUCUUCUUUUCUCUCUGUAAACUCUCUUCUUCUCUUCUGCUGAGUUCUUUCUUCCUAACUCUAACUACGUACUAACAAUAUAACGUAUAAUAAUAAUAUAGGUAUUAAUUAUAUAAUAUAAUUCUAACUCUAACUGACAUCAGUUAUAUUUUAUUGGAAAAUCAAAAAGCCAUAAGGCUUGUUUGGCUAUCCACUAACAAAAAUAAUCAAUUAAUUCUUAUGCCUUGUUUUGUAAAACACAAUUAGAUUAAAGACUUAAUAGGCAUUAGGCCUUGUUUGGCAAAACAUAAUUAAACUCCUUUAAGUUAUUUUAAUAACUCCUUUAUAAAAGGUUAUUUGUCACACUUUUAUUUAAUCAACUAACACAUCUUUUUAAUUACAAAUUCAAAUUAGAAUAUAAUAAUUCAUUUAAUCAAAACUCUCUAAUUUAAUAAUUAAAUUAAAUUAUAAUAUGAUAAUUAAUUUCCUUAAUUAUUUAUUAACAAAUAAUUCACCAAAUCGAAUCGCAUUGAAUAAUUAUUUAUUCAACAAUAAACACAUCUAUUAAAUACUUAAAUAUUAAAUAAAUAUUUAAUAUAACAAUUAAAAAUUCUGGAAUGUUACAUUCACCAUUCAAGAAUACACUUUUGACAUCCAUCUGAAAGACCUUGAAUUUCAUGUGAGCAGCAAAGGCAAGGAAUAUUCUGAUGGCUUCUAGUCUGGCAACAGGUGCAAAUGUCUCAUCAUAGUCAAUGCCUUCUUCUUGAGAGUAGCCCUUGGCCACUAGUCUUGCCUUAUUUCUGGUUAUUACUCUAUCUUCAUCCAUCUUGUUUCUGAAGACCCACUUGGUUCCUAUGACAGGAUGAUUCUUUGGUCUUCGUACCAAUCUCCACACUUUGCUUCUUUCGAACUGAUUAAGUUCUUCCUGCAUGGCUUCUAUCCAGCUGGAGUCUUCCAUAACAUCCUCUAUUUUCUUAGGCUCCAUUUGUGAUAGGAAGCUUAGAUAAAAACAUUCAUUUUGGGUGGCAGCUCUUGUUUUGACUCUUGCACUCGGAUCUCCAAUGAUUAAGUCUUGAGUGUGAUCUCUUGCCCAUCUAUUUCUUGUUGGGACAUCUGUCCUUAUGCCUUCUUGUCUUAGAUCUUCAAGAUCUAUUUCUCCUUCUUGGUGUGGAGGUUCAUUGUCUGGCAUAGGUCUUUCUACGAUCUCAUUUCCUUACUCAACGAUUUCACUAUCUGGCACUACGAUCGUAGUGUUGAGCUCGAUGACCUCGAUCGUAGUGUCUUGCAGCAUUAUUUUGUCUAAGUUUGUCUCAUCAAAGAUGAUGUGAAUCGAGACUUCAACACUUAGUGUAUUCUUGUUGAACACUCUGUAGGCUUUACUGUCUGUGGCAUAUCCAAGAAAGAUUCCUUCAUCUGACUUGGGUUGAAACUUUGUCAAGUACUGCUUUCCAUUAUUGAGAAUGUAGCAUGCACAGCCGAAUACAUGAAAGUAGCUGAUACUUGGCUUUCUUCCUUUCCACAAUUCAUAUGGAGUCUUCUUAAUCGUAGAGUGUAUGAGUGAUCUGUUCUGAGUGUAGCAUGCAGUGUUGACAGCUUCUGCCUAGAAGUAUUCAAGCAGAUGGGCUGCUGCUAGUAGAGUUCUUCCAGCCUCUAUCAAUGUCUUGUUCUUUCUCUCAGCUACUCUAUUUUGUUGAGGAGUUCGUUGAGCUGAGAAGUUGUGACUGAUGCCAUUGUCUAUGCAGAACUGGUCCAUUUUUGAGAAGUCAAAUUCUCUGCCAUGAUCACUCCUUAUAGCCUUGAUUUUCUCUCCUUUCUCGUUCAUCACCAGCUUGAACAUCUUGAUCAGUUGGGAGCUUGUUUCAUCCUUUGAGAUUAGAAAGAACACCCAUGUGAAUCUGGUGUAGUCGUCGACUACGACCAGAGAGUAUCUCUUCCCUCCAAGGCUCGUCGUUGGAAUUGGCCCAAAUAGAUCCAUGUGUAACAAUUGCAGGGGCUUGUCAAUUGAGUUGGCAAUUUUGCUCUUGAAUGAGCUUCUGGUCUGCUUUCCAAGCUGACAGGCAUUGCACGACCUUUCUUUAACGAAGCUGAACUUAGGUAAGCUUACAACUAGAUCUUUUGAGGCUAGUUUGGACAUGCUCUUGAAGUUGAGAUGAGACAGUCUUCGAUGCCAUAACCAGCUCAUUUCUUCAGAUGCUUUAGCUAGAAAGCAUAUUGUCUUGUCUGAGGUUAGUUGACCAAGAUUUACUGUGUAGACAUUUCCUUCUCUUGUUCCAGUUAACUUUAUAGCAGAUGUCUUCAGGCCUCAGACUUGACAUUGAUUGUUGAGGAAUGUUACUUAAUGACCCUUGUCGCAGAGUUGGCUAAUGCUUAGAAGAUUGUGUUGUAGUCCUUCCACAUAGGCCACUUUACUGAAGGAUACUACACCAUUUCUAGCUGAACCAUAUCCUCUUGUCUUGCCAGAGCCGUUGUCUCCAAAGAUGACUGAGGGACCCUCCUUCUCUAUGUAGUUAGACAGAAGGGCUUUGUUCCCAGUCAUGUGCCUUGAGCAUCCACUGUCCAGAUACCAGGUUGUGAUCGUGGAGCUCUUUUCCUGUGAUAACAUUAAACCUUCAUUUUGGUACCCAUACUUGCAUGGGUCCUACUUUGUUAGUACCCUUGGGGACCCAAAUCUGCUUGAUUUUGGGUCUUAUAUGCAUGGAAUUAAAAUGACACUUUGCAGCCUUGUGGCCAACUUUAUGGCACACAAAACAUCUAAUAUGAUGCAUGUUUGUGUGUGUGAGAGUUCUUCCUCCAUUUGGACUUUUGUGGAUCUUUAGUCAUUCUUUUGUUAAGCUGAUUUUCCUUCUUCCAUGUGUCCUUGUGUUUCAUGAUUUGUGAGGAGUGUACCUUACCUCUACUAUACCUUCCUAGUUGGUUCAUAGAGUUGGUCUUACUUGACUCUACGAUCCUUCGAGGUUGGUGAGUAGUGGCUGGGUUACUCUUUUCUUUUCUGAAAUCCAGGCCAGCAUGGGAUCCCUUACUUCUUAGAAUAUGGAAUGAACCAGUAGAGCAGGGUUUGACUGGCUCAUUCUUCUGUGAGGAUUUCAUAAAUAUAAUGCUUCUACUAAAACUUGAAGCAUUACUAGUGCUAGUUUCCUUUACUUUUUCCACACAUGGCUCUGAGGCAGAUUCCCCAAAGCCUAAACCUAUUCUAUCAGAGACACUUCUCUGGCUAGAGAUUAGGGAGUCCAUAGAUGAAGAGGAUUUAUUUCAUGUAGUCUUUUCUAGUUCCUCAAUUUUAGAGGUUAGACUUGACUCUCUUUUUAUAUUGAGCUCAUUGGUCAGUUUCAAGAGCUUAUUCUCAGCUUCAAACUUAGAGAGAGAAUCAGUACUUAGAAGGGCUGUUUCCAAUUCUUCUUGAACUUUUUCUUUUUCCUUUUGAAGAAGUGAAUAGUCCUUAGUCAGAACUCUAAACCAUUUCAUUUAUUGAUGCAGAUCAGAUGUUAUGCCAUGCAGUGAAGUUCUUAAGUCAUCAAUGUCUACAUCAGGAGAGUUGAAGUCAAAUACCUCAUCUAUACUUACUUCAUGUAUGUUGGAGUUCUGUUUAUCCUUUGCGUUCUUGGCCAUCAGGCAAAGAUUUGCCAUUUGAGUAUAUUCAUCAUCUCCAGAUUCUGGAGUUGAGUCAUUGUUUGAGUCACUCCACGAUCCUCCAGCUACAAGGCCUUUAUCUCUCUUCUGAGGCUUUUUGUUGCCUUUGUAUUCCUUCUUUGAAUGUGAUUUCUUCUUUAGUUCUUCUUUGAGAGGUUUGUUGCAGUUAGCAAUGAAGUGGCCAGGUUUCUUGCAGUUGUAGCAUAGAUCGUUCAUUUGCUCCUGGCUGCUGUAGUUGCUGACUUUCUUUGGCUUGCUAGUUUUGCCUUGACGCAUGAACCUUCUGAGUCUCUUCACCAUCAUUGCAAAGUCCUCAUCAUCAUCUUCAUCAUAGUCAGAGUCAACUUCAGUAUUGACUUUGGAGGUGUUUUCAGUUGCUUUGAGAGCAACACCUUUAUCCUUCUUUCUUCCUUCAGACAGAGUUUCUGCUCGUUGAGUCAGCUCCAGUUUGUAUGUAAGAAGGUUUCCAUAUAACUGUUGAACAGUCAUUUCAUGUAGAUUCUUUGACUCUCUAAUGGAAGUGGUUUUGGCAUCCCACUUGCAUGGUAAGGCUCUCAUGAACUUUAUGAUUAGAUCUUUGUUUGGAUAGAUCUUUUCAUAGGCUCGUAGAUAGUUGAGCAGAACAUUAAAUCUCUCAUAGGUGGUAGUGAUGUUUUCUCCUUGAACUUGUGCAAACAUCUCAUAUUGCUGAGUCAAGAGGGAUUGUUUGUUUUCUCUGAUUUCUUCUGUUCCUUCAUGCAUGAUGAACAAUGCUUCCUAAACCUCUUUUGUUGUUUUUCUGUUGACCAUAUUUUUUAACAGAUCAUCUUCUAAGGAUUGGAAUAAGAUGUUCUUGGCCUUUUUGUCGAGUUAUAGAGCUCUCUUCUCGUUUUCUGUCCAUUCUCCUUUGACCUUGAUCUGUAUUCUGUUUGGAUCAUCUGUAGUUGGUGCAAGCUUUGUAGGAACGUAGGGCCCAUUCUGAACAGUUUCAAAUAGAUCUUCAUCUAUUGAAUCCAUGUAAGCUUGCAUCCGAACUUUGCAGUUGACGAAUUUAUCUUUGUUGCACAUGGGUGGCUUGCUGCCUCCUCUAGUCUUUGAUUCGCUUGGUAAGUGUGCCAUUGGAUCUACUCAAGCUUUGUAAGCUAUAUAAUAGAACCUGCUCUGAUACCAAUUGUUAGUUCCCGGAGGCACAAUAAUUAUCUAGAAAGGGGGGUUGAAUAGAUAUUUAAAAAAUUUCUUGUUUUACUUUGUUAGUUUUGAUAAUGAUUCAAACACAGCGGAAUUAAGAUUUGUUUGAUCCCCCUUUAAAUGACGAGUUAAUGAGAGUGAAGCAAAUAUAAUCAGUUAUAGCAGUUAUGCAAUAGACACAGCAGGAUUUAAGUGGUUCAGAGCACUUAAAGCUCCUAGUCCACUCUUCUACUCCUUGAGUAGGAAAUCCACUAAAGAUGUCUUUUACACUUUCUGAAUCUCACAGAUUCCUUCUAGACCAACAGUCUAGGAACUUCUUAGUUCACUUUUGAACUCUUUAAGUCCAGCAGACUUGGCUCUUCUUAGUUCACUUUAGAACUCUACAAGUCCUUCUGACUUGGAACUUCUUUCUUCACUUGAUUUGUAGUUGAUGAGUUCUUGUAAUGUUACUCAGUUGCAGUUAAAAGCUCUUGUUCGAAAAAACUGAGUAGCUGAGCAAGCUUUCUUUUCUUCUCAGAUCGUAGAGUUGAGCGUUGAGUGUUGUUAUCAUUUUUAUUCAAUACUUGCUUACUUGAUCAUCUGCAGAUGUCUUGCAUAUAUGUGAUCUUUGAAAUCUGCCCGUUGAAUCCAUCCGUUGAAGCAUUUAAUGCAUUUGACGUUUCUGAGCUUUGAUGGAGACUUUUCUGCAUAUCUUCUGAAAUGCAUUCGGGCCCACUGACAUAGCAGACUGCUCUCUCACCUAACACCUGAAAAGAUGUUUUCUCUGUCCCAUGGUCCUUUCCUUAGCUUCUUCAAUACGUCUUUUUGUUACAUACUAAGGAUAUUUUCAUUGCAUUGGGACUGGUGAUUACUUCAAUGUUUGUAACCCAUUCCACAUUUAUUAAGAUUUUAUCUUUGAACAAAUGAUCAAGGUCCACAACUUCUGACACAGCCAGAUGAUACUCUACGAUUCUUAUCGUGGUGUCUUUCCACCUUGGUGCUUGAUGCAACCAAACGAGAACACUACGAUUUGUCUUAAGGGCUGGCACACUACGAUCUUCACUUGCUUGUCUUGCAGACUACGUUUCUGGGAGCACUCUACGAUCUCUGAAUUGGCUUUGGAAAACGUCUGGACCACACUAUGAUCUCUAGAGAGGCCCUUCAAGGUAGUCAUACUACGAUCCUUGAUGCUCUACGAUUUUUCCUUGGCUUCUGCAGACUUUUGCUCAACUCAUUGGAUAGCAAAUCUGUUUGGAGCCUAUCUAUUACAUUUCAAGAUAUAGAUCAACCUAACAUCUUUGAUCUCUUUAUCUAUACAUUCAUUUACAGAAUGAUGAACAUUGAAAGCUUAGAUCAACCUAACAAUUUUGAUCUAUCACUUAGUCCUUGUACAUAUAUUCCUUGAAGGACUUCACAUAUAAUCAUGAACGUUUACUUUAAACAUCAAAUCAAGAUAUGCAUUCUUCCAACAGAAGGAAUUAAUGUUGAGGUGUUUUAUCAGUAUUUUAUCGAAAUGGAGGUAUUAAAAUCGUCCGUAUAUAGAUUUCGGGCAUUUUAUGUUUGGAAUUUGGAAAAACUUAUAUCUACAAAGUUGUAGAGAAUUCGAUUUCAUAUGGAAUAGACAUAAAAUUCGUAUUUUUUUGAUAAAAGGGUUAUUUAUUAUGAAUUAUUGAAGUUUCAGAAAUAAAUGUUUUUAUUAAAAUUAUGGAUGGGGCCCACUUUUAUUUUUUUGUGAAAACAUGUGCUGACUUUUUUUUCAAAUGUAGUGUGCUUUCAUAGAUGGUGUGCUAGAAAAAAAAGCCUCUAUAUUCAUUUUGUCAAACCUGGCGUUAUGACAUUUUCCUAUAAAUAGGGUGCUUAGUUAGUAAUAAAAAUCACACCAGAAACAUAAGUUUUCUCUCUCUAUAUUAUCGAGCGUAUUUUUGUGAGUAUUUAGAUACUUUGAGAGUUACUAUUCAGUGCAAGUUUCCUUCGGCUUUACAUCUGAUAUUCCAGUCAGAAGUACUGUUCUUUUGAGAUAAGGGAUGUUAUUUUCUUCGUAAAUGAUAUUAUUUAUUUCAAUAUCAUUAUGCUGAAAUAUUGGUAUAAAUUUUAUUGUGGAAUUUCUACCUUUUUGUGUCGGGGUUACUAUUCACGUAUACGGCACUAUUCACAUAUAAGGCACUAUUCACAAAUAUGGCACUAUUUAUCGAAAAAUAAUUUUUUUUAUUCUUUGUCCCACAUGUCUAUUAUGGUUACUAUCUUUGAUUGUAUCCAUGUUUUGAUCUUCUUUCUUGAAUUUUACUCCACUAUGGUUUAUUAUGGAAUGUUUUUGAACUUGGAUUAUCUAAAGUACGAAUCCCUAAUAUUUGUUCUUUUGUCCCACUGGAUUCGUUUCUUAAAAAUAUUUUUCAUCAUCCUCAGUCCUAAAUGAUGAUAUAAUUGAAUAUCUUUGGCCUAUAGUGCAAAGAUGAAUGAUUACCUGAUGAAUAUCUUUUGCCCGUAGUGCAAAGCUGAACAGGUGUUGAGAUGAACAUGACCAACUGGUGAUACAAAUGAAUAUCUUUGGCCCGUAGUGCAAAGAUGAAUAUUUGAUUCAAGAUGUAUAUUGAUUGAUGUUACAGGGAUAAAAUAUUGAUAAUGGACUUUUAAAUUCAUAGAUGAUAGUAGAUUUCAUUCUCUACUUAACUCUUCUAAUGAAUUGUUAUUUUUGCUACAGUUGUUGAUCUAACACUUGUUGUAUAUUAUAUUCUAUCAGAUUUUUCCCUGUUGAGGACUAAGGAUAAUUUAUUGUACAUUAUCUUAAUUAUAAUAUUCUUUACUGGGCUAGUUGAGCUCACCCUUUUCUUUUUUGUUCCAUUUUUUAG
rnacentral:lncRNA from 1 species